ensembl:lncRNA
UGCAGGUAAGGAGGUGCAUGCCCAUUUAUGCAUAUAUGGGUGAGUAUAAGGACUUUGAAGUCAAUCCGGAAAGAGACAGGGAGCCAGUUUAGUGAGUGUAAUAUUGGUGUUAUGUGCUCAUAUUUCCGGACCUUCAUCAGGAUCCUUAAUAAUAAUAAUAAUAAUAAUAAGAAUUAUUGUCUUCCGGGACGCGACACAUUUUAAGUGAGAACAUGUUUAUUGUCAUCAUUUGUGUUGCUGUGUGACAAUAUGAAAAUGUCAAAAAUGAGAUAGUUCUUUAUAUUUGAUGGCUUGGCAUUGGUAAACAUUUCUGACAAAUCUUUGGCACCAUAAAACAAAACAAAACGAACAUUCGGACGAUACAAAAUACACAUCAUGUAAUACAAUAGGAUAUAUUUUUGCAAUAGCAGUUACAUUUAUAUAUUGCGGUAAAAAAGCAAAUAUAUUAAAUGGGAUUACAGAUACAUAAAAAUCCUUCAUUUAGAACAUUUCAGAAUCCUUCCUUUCAAUGUUUGGAUAAUAAUUAUGAGUACACAGGAAAAUCUAGAGAGCAAAUGUGUGUGUGUGUGUGUGUGUGAUUGUAAUCAAUGCAAGCAAUGACCAUUACACUGAUUUGAGCUUCUCUUACAGACAUUUUUAACUUCAUGGUCAAGUGAUUCGGUAGGUAAAAGGUAAACAAAACAAUAAGAGGAAAAUAACACAAAGAAACCACCGUCUCUAAGGCACUGCAGUGAGACCUGCACUGUAAUCUUCAGAUUGUUCCAGAAGACUCAAUGGGGCUUCUUCCACUGCCUGGUGAGGUCAGUUUGCUUGCAAUGUCUCAGACCACUGCUAACCCUGUGUCUCUCUCCAGCUCUGAUCUGAGACAGACCUGAGCCGGAUGAGAGCCAGGUCUGAGCCGGAUGAGAGCCAGGUCUGAGCCGGAUGAGAGCCAGGUCUGAGCCGGAUGAGAGCCAUCCAUUCCAGCCCAGCAGACAAGCACAGUCCCACACCAGACUCGAACUCGCAACCUUGGACGUGGGAGGCGGGCGUGCUAGCAAGGAUGCUAAAACCGCUAGUCGCUAGCACGCUGGUCUCUUAAGCUGUCGGGGAGUGAGGUUGACGCCUCCAUGACGUGCACCACAAGAACUACACAAUCAAGAAAAUACUAGUGAAGACUAAAUACAGAACACGUGGCAUACCUGACACCAAAAAGAAAUACACAGAAGUGGGAGCUAGCGAGUGAGCGAGCGAGCGAGCGAGCCAGACGCUCCUCUGUCGCGGGACAGUAGCAAAAGCCGCGUCAGGGCCACAUCAGGGCCGCAUCAGGGCCGCAUCAGGGCCACGUCUGUUCGGGAGUAUGCAGCUAUCUGUGUUUGCUUGGUCAUUCAGAUCGAUUGAAGAUGAGGUUAAAUGAGUCUAUUCACCCAUUUGAACUCACCAUAAUGUAAAAAAAGGACACCAAGACUUGGCAUCUUCCCUGUAUACCUGCUGCCAUUAUGGUGCGGAUGUUUUUGUUCUAUCUGUUGGGUCAGCUUUGGCAGCCUACCCCUCAACUGGAAUGUCCCUUCGAAGGCCAUUAAUAAUUAUAUAAUUAUAGUAAUCAAUAAUUGAGCUUUUGGUGAGUCUAUUAUCUCUGUCUGGUUUCUCUCACAGCCCCGGUACCUCCAGAGCUGGAGAGAGACUGUCUAUUACAAAAGAUGAGAACAAAAGAUGAUAACAAAGACAGAAAGCCUAUGAAAAGAGUUAUAACCCUAUGAAAAGAGUUAUAACCCUAUGAAAAGAGUUAUAACCCUAUGCAAAGAGUUAUAACCCUAUGAAAAGAGUUAUAACCCUAUGCAAAGAGUUAUAACCCAAUGAAAAGAGUUAUAAGCCUUAGAAACAGAGGGAAGGGAGAGGAGAGGACACCGACUCAGGGAUGGAAAACAGAACGAGUCCCUUUUUCUUUUCUUUAUUCCCUCGUUCUUUUUUCUCUCGUUCAGCUGUGUUGGCAGUGUCGGUCUCCACCCUUCUCCGCCCGUUUCCUGAGCACUCUCCGCCUCUCCUUUCCUCUCCUCCCGCAUCGGUAUGGCGUGUGUCCUCCCUCUCUUUUCCCCUCUC